rnacentral:rRNA from 1 species
ACGGGUGAGUAAUACAUCGGAACGUGCCCGAUCGUGGGGGAUAACGGAGCGAAAGCUUUGCUAAUACCGCAUACGAUCUAAGGAUGAAAGCAGGGGACCGCAAGGUCUUGCGCGGACGGAGCGGCCGAUGGCAGAUUAGGUAGUUGGUGGGAUAAAAGCUUACCAAGCCGACGAUCUGUAGCUGGUCUGAGAGGACGACCAGCCACACUGGGACUGAGACACGGCCCAGACUCCUACGGGAGGCAGCAGUGGGGAAUUUUGGACAAUGGGCGAAAGCCUGAUCCAGCCAUGCCGCGUGCAGGAUGAAGGCCUUCGGGUUGUAAACUGCUUUUGUACGGAACGAAAAGCCUCUUUCUAAUAAAGAGAGGUCAUGACGGUACCGUAAGAAUAAGCACCGGCUAACUACGUGCCAGCAGCCGCGGUAAUACGUAGGGUGCGAGCGUUAAUCGGAAUUACUGGGCGUAAAGCGUGCGCAGGCGGUGAUGUAAGACAGAUGUGAAAUCCCCGGGCUCUACCUGGGAACUGCAUUUGUGACUGCAUCGCUUUGAGUGCGGCAGAGGGGGGAUGGAAUUCCGCGUGUA